GACUGACUCUAGUCCGACUUUGAAAGACUUAAUAUAAAUGGACCCCGGCAAAGUAAAUACCACUACUUAACGUAUUACUUAUCCGGAAUCGGAAGGCAACGCCCUCUUUGACCCAAGCCGCCUCCGGUCAUCCGGCGGAAACAUGUCAGGUGGGAUUGCUGGGCCACAUCUUAAAAAUAACCAGGUCCAAAUGACUCAACGAAACAAAAUCUCGUUAAACAGAAGGUAAAACCUUAUUCGAUUCCAUACGAAACGAACCGUAAAGCGCCUAACAUCCUUAACCUCGAAUUGAACUAAGUCAAAAAGUACCACAGAUAACGCUUGCACCAACGUCAUAGCGACGUGCUUUGAUCCUCGAUUCGCUCUCCUACAUGUAACAGAAUUCACCAAGUGAUGUUCACCCACCAAUAGGAACGUGACUGGUAACCGUCGUGAACAGUAUUUACCCUACUGAUAAGUUCGCAAUAGUAAUUCAACCUAGUACGAAGAACCGUUGAUCCACAAUGUCACGCGCUGGUUAAAAGCCAUGCCGAAGCACCGUCGCUGGAUAGACGAACCCUCUAAUCAAAUCCGGGCUAGAACACCGUGCCCGCGCCUUGCCGACCAGCAUAGCCUCGCCCCCAAAGCACUUCGUAGCAAGCUCGCGGCGACAGCCCCGGCCCCUG
rnacentral:lncRNA from 1 species